AUUGAACGCUGGCGGCAGGCCUAACACAUGCAAGUCGAGCGGAUGAAGGGAGCUUGCUCCUGGAUUCAGCGGCGGACGGGUGAGUAAUGCCUAGGAAUCUGCCUGGUAGUGGGGGAUAACGUCCGGAAACGGGCGCUAAUACCGCAUACGUCCUGAGGGAGAAAGUGGGGGAUCUUCGGACCUCACGCUAUCAGAUGAGCCUAGGUCGGAUUAGCUAGUUGGUGGGGUAAAGGCCUACCAAGGCGACGAUCCGUAACUGGUCUGAGAGGAUGAUCAGUCACACUGGAACUGAGACACGGUCCAGACUCCUACGGGAGGCAGCAGUGGGGAAUAUUGGAAAAUGGGCGAAAGCCUGAUCCAGCCAUGCCGCGUGUGUGAAGAAGGUCUUCGGAUGGUAAAGCACUUUAAGUUGGGAGGAAGGGCAGUAAGUUAAUACCUGGCUGUUUUGACGUUACCAACAGAAUAAGCACCGGCUAACUUCGU
rnacentral:rRNA from 1 species